rnacentral:rRNA from 1 species
GAGGCGCUCAAAGGUUCCCUCAGAAUGGUUGGAAAUCAUUCAUAGAGUGUAAAGGCAUAAGGGAGCUAGACUGCGAGACCUACAAGUCGAGCAGGGUCGAAAGACGGACUUAGUGAUCCGGUGGUUCCGCAAGGAAGGGCCAUCGCUCAACGGAUAAAAGCUACACCGGGGAUAACAGGCUUAUCUCCCCCAAGAGUUCACAUCGACGGGGAGGUUUGUCACCUCGAUGUCGGC